UUCCGAGAAAAAACAGGUUUUUCUCAGUUUUUCUGGUUUACUUUUGGUUGGUUCGCCGUAAUCAAUACCGGAACCAGAACCAAAACCUACGCCCGAGACGUCUUGGUCUUUAUAUUUAAAAAUAAGCCUUGUCUAAGGGAAUUUCAAUCUUCCUCUCCUCCCCUCCGUGGUAGAUAAGCUUCAAGGGGGCAAUCCCUGCAGGGCCGGAGGGGAAUUCGUGUCCUACUAAUCACAAUGCCUGCUAGUGCUAAAGUUUUCAAAACAGGGAUUGAACAGAACAUAUCUGUGUAAAAAUGGGUCAUGUCCCGGCUUUUCCGAUGAAAAUAAUUCCAUGCUCUUUUGCGGCCAGAAAUCCAAUGGGAAAAUUCAUGUGGAAUAAACCAAAUAGGUACCUAUAAGUACUUAGGUAUGUGCAAAACUCAAAAUCUUUCCCUUGCUAAUCUUAGCUUUUAUACAGAAUUACUCGCUGGAUUCACUUACUUACAGCCUGGGUAGAUUUUCUCACUCUGAAGAAUAGAACCGCCUGCUUGGAGCUGCCCUCUGCUGAUCGGUGUAACUGGUAGCUGAAGAUACGAUCGUUAUGAGGCGAUAAAAGCAGCUGAAGAUUGAAGCUUUUUGGGGACUUUAGACUUCAACAUUCAAUUGCCAGCGAGUUGUACCGAAAUCAUGCUUGCACAAUUCAUUUGUCGGUCUGUAAACGAAUGGAGCCUAAAGAAAAAAGUACUAAAACGUGGUAGAUGACGUCAUCAGCUCGAGAAAGCUGAAAACUGAUAAACCAAUUGGAGAGUGGUAUAGACAUGGCAUUAUGCUCAGCCUAGAGAGGCACUCCAUUUGUAACAAGGUUGUCGGGUUAUGAGAUAAAAAUGGAGUAAAAUAGGGAAAUUGUCUGAUGUCUCAGCCAUGUCUGAUAAAAAUUAUGUAUAAAGUAAU